GAGUUGAUGUUUUAGGGUUUAGAUUUGAAGGUUUAGAGUUUUAGGGUUUAGGGUUUAUGUUUAGGGUUUAGGGUUUACGUUUAAGAUUUAGAGUUGAUGUUUUAGGGUUUAGAUUUGAAGGUUUAGGGUUUUAGGGUUUAGGGUUCGAAUUUGAGAAAAAUAUAGGGUUUAGCAAGGUUCUAAAAAUCGGUCUAGGCGGCGCCUAGGCCCCCGCCUAGGCAGCAACUCGGUCCUAUCCGAAAUGAUUUUCUUAAAAUCCGAUUUAUACCGAUUUAUAUGAUUCAAAUUGGUUUAAACUGUUCUAAAUCGGUUAAAAUUGGUUAAAAUCAAUCUAAAAUUGUCUAUAUAUGUUAAAUAAAGCAAUAAUAUUAUUACAAAUCUACAAAUUUGUCUACUUUCUUCUGUUUUGUAUAUCUAAUUUUGAUAAUUCAUCACAAUAAUUUUAUAAUUAAACUUAAAAACUAAAAUAUGUUAUACAAAUGUAUAGAAUAUAUAAAAUAAAUCAACAAUUUGCUAACGCGUAGGCCCCGAAUAAUCCGCCUAGUCGCUAGUCCUCUAUAAAGCGCCUAGUUACCGCCUAGCGAUUUUUAGAACAUUGGGGUUUAGGGUUUAGGGUUUACGUUUAGGGUUUAGAGCUGAUGUUUUAGGUUUUAGAUUUGAAGUUUUAGGGUUUAGAGUUGAUGUUUCGGGGUUUAGGGUUUAGUGUUGAUGUUUCAUGGUUAAGGGUUUAGAGUUGUUGAUCUAGGGUUUAAAGUUGAUGUUUUAAGUUUAGAUUUAGGGUUUAGGGUUUACGUUUAGGGUUUAGAGUUGAUGUUUUAGGGUUUAGAUUUGACGGUUUAGG
rnacentral:lncRNA from 1 species